rnacentral:rRNA from 1 species
AGCGGCGGACGGGUGCGUAACACGUGGGAACGUACCCUUUGGUUCGGAACAACUCAGGGAAACUUGAGCUAAUACCGAAUGUGCCCGAAAGGGGAAAGAUUUAUCGCCAAAGGAUCGGCCCGCGUUCGAUUAGCUUGUUGGUGGGGUAAUGGCCCACCAAGGCGACGAUCGAUAGCUGGUCUGAGAGGACGAUCAGCCACACUGGGACUGAGACACGGCCCAGACUCCUACGGGAGGCAGCAGUUGGGAAUCUUGGACAAUGGGGGAAACCCUGAUCCAGCCAUGCCGCGUGAGUGAUGAAGGCCUUAGGGUUGUAAAACUCUUUCGGCGGGGACGAUAAUGACGGUACCCGCAGAAGAAGCUCCGGCUAACUUCGUGCCAGCAGCCGCGGUAAUACGAAGGGGGCUAGCGUUGUUCGGAAUUACUGGGCGUAAAGCGCGCGCAGGCGGCCAUUCAAGUCAGGGGUGAAAGCCCGGAGCUCAACUCCGGAAUUGCCUUUGA